ACUGCAGCUCCAAAUGUAAUUUUGCAUGACAGUCCGGGAGUGAUGACAAGAAGGCAACUUGCAAUGAUUCGUGGAGAGAGCAGCACUUCACAAGCUACCAUGGCCAGUUCACCCCAGACUAAGAAGGUAACUUCAAAAAAACUGCUGAUUCGUGGAGAGAGUAGCACUUCACAAGCUACCAUGGCCAGUUCACCCCAGACUAAGAAGCCAACUUCAAAAAAGCUGACACCAAAGAAGAGGAAGAGACAUUAACUUGCAUGUCUGAUGAGAGAAUUUAUUUUGGUCUGUUUGAAUGAAUUGCUCGAGUUUAGUUAUGAAUUAUGUGUUUGAACUAUUCAACCUAGCUGGUUGAGAUGUAUGUCAACUGUGUGUGUGAUAGACUUGUGCUUGCAAGGAUCCGAACAACUUGUGUGUGAAUCCUGUUUCGUUUAUGAACUAGUGUUGCU